rnacentral:rRNA from 1 species
CCCCUGGGAAGUCCUCGUGUUGCACCCC